rnacentral:lncRNA from 1 species
UCUUUCAUUAACAAGUUUCAGAACUCCAUCGUAUCUUCUCCAACUUGAAUGAAGCAAGGAAAACAUGGAUUCAAGUUAGCAAUGUUAGUUGUUAUUGUUGUGUCAGAUAAUAUAUUUAAUGUUGUUGUUGUUGUUGUUGUUGUUGAGAUUUAAUAUUUAACGAUUUUAUUGAUUUUUUGUUGUUGUUGUUGUUGUUGUUGUUUUUUCUUGUUGUUG